GCGUUAACCAAUACCAUACUGUUGCUGAUCUAUUCGACUUCUAACGAUAGCAGCAGUACCCAUUUCCCUGGUGUUGGCGCAGUAUUCGCGCACCCCAGUUUCGAC
rnacentral:sRNA from 1 species